AGACUUGAAUGAAAUGCUACAGAUGGGAGAUCUGGAAUCCUGAGGGAGACUCCUGAAGGGCUGGAUGACGCAACCAAGAAUACACAGCUGACAGGAUCUGAGUUCUGUGACCAGGGAUUGAACCCGGGAACUUCAGCAGAGAAAGUGCAGAGUCCUAACUACUGGGCAGCCAAGGAAUCCCCCAUGAAGUAACUUUCUUUGUCAAGAAAAGGUGCCAUCAUUUUUGUAACUGUUACAGGCAGAAGAUAAGAUGCAAGGCUGGGGAGCAGGCUGGUGCCAAUCAAGGAAGGCACGAGAAAUGGUGCCUGAUAGGCACUGGUUUGCUCUGUCUUUUUGAGGAAAAUUAAGGUGAUUCCCUGCCCCGCCAUCAAAAUUUAUCCCUGGAAGCCUGAUG